rnacentral:rRNA from 1 species
CCUACGGGGGGCUGCAGUCGAGAAUUUUUGGCAAUGGGCGAAAGCCUGACCAAGCGAUGCCGCGUGCGGGAUGAAGGCCUUCGGGUUGUAAACCGCUGUCAGUGGGGAGGAAAGCUUUGUGAAGAGCAGAGCUUGACCUAUCCGCAGAGGAAGUGUGGGCUAAGUUCGUGCCAGCAGCCGCGGUAAGACGAACCACACAAACGUUAUUCGGAAUUACUGGGCUUAAAGGGUGCGUAGGCUGCGCAGUAAGUUGGGUGUGAAAUACCUCGGCUCAACCGAGGAACUGCGCCCAAAACUACUGUGCUUGAGGAAGAUAGAGGUAAGCGGAACUUACGGUGGAGCGGUGAAAUGCGUUGAUAUCGUAAGGAACACCUGUGGCGAAAGCGGCUUACUGGGUCUUUUCUGACGCUGAUGCACGAAAGCUAGGGGAGCAAACGGGAUUAGAUACCCCAGUAGUC